AUAAACUCCCUGCCAAACGGGAAAUCACCAGGCCCAGACGGCUUUAACAAUACCUACUAUAAAACCUACCAGACGAUCUUAGCACCCCAACUGGUUAAAACGUUUAACGAAGCAACACUCAACAAAUCUCUCCCUAGCGACAUAUUACUAGCACACAUAGUGACACUCCCAAAGCCGAACAAGACACCAACAACACCGCAGAACUUUAGACCUAUAUCACUCCUCAACACGGACGCAAAAUUACUAGCAAAAAUAUAUGCCAAGAGAUUGGGAUCCGUGCUACCCCACAUAAUACACAACGACCAGGUGGGAUUCAUCAAAGGGAGGCAAGGGGCCGAUAACACCAGGAAGGUCAUAACUCUACUGCACAAGAUACGUAACCACAACGAAGGGGGGAUUCUGGUCUCCCUAGAUGCAGAAAAGGCCUUCGACCGUCUGCACUGGGGAUUCCUACAAGAGGUCCUGAAGAGGUUUGGGAUCCCAGACACGAUAGUAGCAGUAAUAAAAGCCUUGUAUAAAGCGCCAACAGCGCAGGUACUAAACUCAG